AACAGAGUUCAGCAAGUUCUUGUGUUCACUCUAACACAGUAUACACUGUGAAACUGCUUUAUUUCAAAUUAGAUGUGACAGAAUAAUAGGAGUAGAAAUGACUCAACUGGCCUUUGUGACAUGGUUGGUUACUGGAAAAGGGACAAAGUCUGUCUAUUCCAUUGCAUCAUUCUUCUGGAACCUUGAUAAUAGCCAAUUCUACUGCCUUAACAACAUCAUUGCUUGCAGUUGGCAAGGACCAGAGAGAGAAAACAAGGUCACGCUGCUAGUAAGGUGUGGUUUCAGGAUUCAACUUCAGUAAAUCUAACUCCAAAACUGUGCUCUUUUCUGCUAUUUUGUAUAUUUUGCUACUGCUAUUUCAAACAUUGGCCUUCAACUCUUAAAAGACCACCAGGAAAAUCUGUAACCAGGCAAUGGACUAUUUCAUAUAAUAGAGUUUCUUGCUCAUGUGUUUAAGGAAUGGCUUGGUCAGCUCUGAUAAAAGACUGCCACUGAGUUCAGGUAAUUUCACCUUGUACCAAUUUUGGACUUUGGUUGAAGACAGCUGAUACAGGGAACAUUUACUUUUCAUGGAGGAAAUGGAAGUUCCUAG